UACCAGUCGCGGCGAUGCAGUUUAGAAAGGCAAACGCUGCUUUUUACUCAGCAGAAUCAGAGAGAAAAGCUCGAAAAGUUAACUGAAAUAAAUGUCCUACAGAAACUCGCGAGAGACUUAAUUUCUUCCUUAUGUCUUGGAUUGAAUCAAUCCCACAAAAGAAUGACAGCGUCUUCUGGUGGCGAAAUAGCGGACAGUCUCAGCCCAACCCCCGCCACUGUUUCUCCCCGUGUUGCGGGCCCCGUUGCAAAUGAGACCCGUCUCUCUCACUAUCCCACGGCAGGGGGCAGCUCGUCCCAUCGCCAAGAGCAACGGGAUGGCAGCGUCCCUCACCACAACCGCCAUCUGCACAAGAUCAAGCUCCUCCCCUACUGGAAUGCAGUAAAUAACAUGACCUCUGAGAAAAUACAGUAUUAUGGUAAAUAUGCUUCACAG